rnacentral:rRNA from 1 species
UACAGAGGUCUCAAGCGUUGUUCGGAUUCAUUGGGCGUAAAGGGUGUGUAGGUGGCGCCGUUAGUCGGGUGUGAAAUUUCGGAGCUUAACUCCGAAACUGCAUUCGAUACUGCGGUGCUUGAGGACUGGAGAGGAGACUGGAAUUCAUGGUGUAGCAGUGAAAUGCGUAGAGAUCAUGAGGAAGACCAGUGGCGAAGGCGGGUCUCUGGACAGUACCUGACACUGAGACACGAAGGCCAGGGGAGCAAACGGG